UACGUAGGGUGCGAGCGUUGUUCGGAGUUACUGGGCGUAAAGGGUGUGUAGGCGGUUGUUUAAGUUUGGUGUGAAAUCUCCCGGCUCAACUGGGAGGGUGCGCCGAAUACUGAAUGACUUCGAGUGCGGGAGAGGAGGGUGGAAUUCCUGGUGUAGCGGUGAAAUGCGUAGAUAUCAGGAGGAACACCGGUGGUGUAAACGGCUUUCUGGACGAUUUCUGACGCUGAGGCACGAAAGCGUGGGUAGCAAACAGG
rnacentral:rRNA from 1 species